UUAGAGUUUGAUCAUGGCUCAGGACGAACGCUGGCGGCGUGCUUAACACAUGCAAGUGGAGCGACGAACCAGGGCUUGCCCUGGGGCAGAGCCGCGAACGGGUGAGUAACACGUGGGUCACCUGCCUCGAUGACCGGGACAACCCGAGGAAACUCGGGCUAAUACCGGAUGUGCCCGCAAGGGGAAAGGAAGCUUCGGCCUCCGCAUCGAGAUGGGCCCGCGGCCCAUUAGCUUGUUGGUGAGGUAACGGCUCACCAAGGCUUCGAUGGGUAGCUGGUCUGAGAGGACGAUCAGCCACACUGGGACUGAGACACGGCCCAGACUCCUACGGGAGGCAGCAGUGGGGAAUCUUGCGCAAUGCGCGAAAGCGUGACGCAGCAACGCCGCGUGGGGGAAGAAGGCUUUCGGGUUGUAAACCCCUUUCAGUUGGGACGAAGCUUCGCCGGUUAAUAGCCGGCCGGAGUGACGGUACCUUCACAAGAAGCACCGGCUAACUACGUGCCAGCAGCCGCGGUACGCC
rnacentral:rRNA from 1 species